GACGAACGCUGGCGGCGUGCUUAACACAUGCAAGUCGAACGAAGAGCGAUGGAAGCUUGCUUCUAUCAAUCUUAGUGGCGAACGGGUGAGUAACGCGUAAUCAACCUGCCCUCCAGAGGGGGACAACAGUUGGAAACGACUGCUAAUACCGCAUACGAUCUAAUCUCGGCAUCGAGGAUAGAUGAAAGGUGGCCUCUACAUGUAAGCUAUCACUGAAGGAGGGGAUUGCGUCUGAUUAGCUAGUUGGAGGGGUAACGGCCCACCAAGGCGAUGAUCAGUAGCCGGUCUGAGAGGAUGAACGGCCACAUUGGGACUGAGACACGGCCCAGACUCCUACGGAAGGCAGCAGUGGGGAAUCUUCCGCAAUGGACGAAAGUCUGACGGAGCAACGCCGCGUGAGUGAUGACGGCCUUCGGGUUGCAAAGCUCUGUUAAUCGGGACGAAAGGCCUUC
rnacentral:rRNA from 1 species